UGCUGAACUCAUGCCUGAACUCCCAGGG
rnacentral:piRNA from 1 species